rnacentral:rRNA from 1 species
ACUUCAAUAUGUCUUUUGAUUGGUUUGUAAGGGUCUUCCCAUACAGACCGAUAGGUCGUCGCCAACAGUUUGGCGCGCCGUCCGCAGCGCAGCGAUCGCAGGGUUAUCGAAGAUAAUCCCGGAGAUCGCGACAGCGUGAGGACAAAAGACACCCGGUCUGUCCGGGUUGAAGGGUUCAGCGAAAGAGGUUUCUAGAUAUCGCAAUAAGGUAUCUGCACCUGAAUACAUAGGGUGUAAGAAGCGAACGCAGGGAACUGAAACAUCUAAGUACCUGCAGGAAAGGACAUCAACCGAGACUCCGCAAGUAGUGGCGAACGAACGCGGACCAGGCCAGUGGCAAUGAUGAAUAAAGCGGAACGAUCUGGAAAGGUCGGCCAUAGAGGGUGAUAGCCCCUUACGCGUAGAACAGUCAUUGUCCUUGAAUAGGGCGGGACACGUUAAAUCCUGUCUGAACAUGGGGAGACCACUCUCCAAGCCUAAGUACUCGUGCAUGACCGAUAGCGAACAAGUACCGUGAGGGAAAGGUGAAAAGCACCCCGACGAGGGGAGUGAAAUAGAACCUGAAACCGGAUGCCUACAAACAGUCGGAGCCCGCAAGGGUGACGGCGUACCUUUUGUAUAAUGGGUCAACGACUUAGUGUAACUAGCAAGCUUAAGCCGGUAGGUGUAGGCGCAGCGAAAGCGAGUCUGAACAGGGCGAUUGAGUUAGUUGCAUUAGACCCGAAACCGAGUGAUCUAGCCAUGAGCAGGCUGAAGGUUGGGUAACACCAACUGGAGGGCCGAACCCAUAACUGUUGCAAUAGUUCGGGAUGACUUGUGGCUAGGGGUGAAAGGCCAAUCAAACUCGGAAAUAGCUGGUUCUCCGCGAAAUCUAUUUAGGUAGAGCGUCGACCGAAUACCCUCGGGGGUAGAGCACUGGAUGGGCUAUGGGGACUCACCGUCUUACUGAUCCUAACCAAACUCCGAAUACCGAGGAGUACUAGUCGGCAGACACACGGCGGGUGCUAACGUCCGUCGUGAAAAGGGCAACAACCCUGACCUCCAGCUAAGGUCCCCAAGUCAUGGCUAAGUGGGAAAGGAUGUGAGGAUCCCAAAACAACCAGGAUGUUGGCUUAGAAGCAGCCAUCAUUUAAAGAAAGCGUAACAGCUCACUGGUCUAAAUAAGGGUCUUUGCGCCGAAAAUGUAACGGGGCUAAAGCCAUGCACCGAAGCUGAGGAUUUGCGAGUAAUCGCAAGUGGUAGCGGAGCGUUCCGUAAGUCUGUGAAGGCGGACCCGUGAGGGCUGCUGGAGAUAUCGGAAGUGCGAAUGUUGACAUGAGUAACGAUAAAGGGAGUGAGAGACUCCCUCGCCGAAAGACCAAGGGUUCCUGCUUAAAGUUAAUCUGAGCAGGGUUAGCCGGCCCCUAAGACGAGGCGGACACGCGUAGUCGAUGGGAACCACGUUAAUAUUCGUGGGCCUGGUGGUAGUGACGGAUCUCGUGUGUUGUACAACCUUACUGGAUUGGUUGUGCGGCGAAGAGGUUCCAGGAAAUAGCUCCACCGUAUAGACCGUACCCGAAACCGACACAGGUGGUCAGGUAGAGUAUACCAAGGCGCUUGAGAGAAUUAUGUUGAAGGAACUCGGCAAAUUGCACGCGUAACUUCGGAAGAAGCGUGACCCUUUUGUACGCAAGUAUGAUGGGGUGGCACAGACCAGGGGGUAGCGACUGUUUAUCAAAAACACAGGGYUCUGCGAAGUAGCAAUACGACGUAUAGGGUCUGACGCCUGCCCGGUGCUGGAAGGUUAAAGGGAGGGGUGCAAGCUCUGAACUGAAGCCCCAGUAAACGGCGGCCGUAACUAUAACGGUCCUAAGGUAGCGAAAUUCCUUGUCGGGUAAGUUCCGACCUGCACGAAUGGCGUAACGACUUCCCCGCUGUCUCCAACAUAGACUCAGUGAAAUUGAAUUCCCCGUGAAGAUGCGGGGUUCCUGCGGUCAGACGGAAAGACCCCGUGCACCUUUACUAUAGCUUUACACUGGCAUUCGCCAAGGCAUGUGUAGGAUAGGUGGUAGGCUUUGAAGCAGGGACGCCAGUUUCUGUGGAGCCAUCCUUGAAAUACCACCCUUAUCUUCGUGGAUGUCUAACCGCGGUCCGUUAUCCGGAUCCGGGACAGUGUAUGGUGGGUAGUUUGACUGGGGCGGUCGCCUCCGAAAGAGUAACGGAGGCGCGCGAUGGUUAGCUCAGACCGGUCGGAAAUCGGUCGUCGAGUGCAAUGGCAUAAGCUAGCCUGACUGCGAGACUGACAAGUCGAGCAGAGACGAAAGUCGGUCAUAGUGAUCCGGUGGUCCCGUGUGGAAGGGCCAUCGCUCAACGGAUAAAAGGUACGCCGGGGAUAACAGGCUGAUGACCCCCAAGAGUCCAUAUCGACGGGGUUGUUUGGCACCUCGAUGUCGACUCAUCGCAUCCCUGGGGCUGGAGCAGUUCCCAAGGGU